CCUACGGGCGGCAGCAGUGGGGAAUAUUGGACAAUGGGGGCAACCCUGAUCCAGCCAUGCCGCGUGUGUGAAGAAGGCCCUCGGGUUGUAAAGCACUUUCAGUGAGGAAGAACGCCUGGUGGUUAAUACCCAUCAGGAAAGACAUCACUCACAGAAGAAGCACCGGCUAACUCCGUGCCAGCAGCCGCGGGAAUACGGAGGGUGCGAGCGUUAAUCGGAAUUACUGGGCGUAAAGCGCGCGUAGGUGGCUUGAUAAGCCGGUUGUGAAAGCCCCGGGCUCAACCUGGGAACGGCAUCCGGAACUGUCAAGCUAGAGUGCAGGAGAGGAAGGUAGAAUUCCCGGUGUAGCGGUGAAAUGCGUAGAGAUCGGGAGGAAUACCAGUGGCGAAGGCGGCCUUCUGGACUGACACUGACACUGAGGUGCGAAAGCGUGGGUAGCAAACAGGAUUAGAUACCCGAGUAGUC
rnacentral:rRNA from 1 species